rnacentral:rRNA from 2 species
GGGUUGUGAGGUUAAGCGACUAAGCGUACACGGUGGAUGCCCUGGCAGUCAGAGGCGAUGAAGGACGUGCUAAUCUGCGAAAAGCGUCGGUAAGGUGAUAUGAACCGUUAUAACCGGCGAUGUCCGAAUGGGGAAACCCAGUGUGAUUCGUCACACUAUCGUUAACUGAAUACAUAGGUUAACGAGGCGAACCGGGGGAACUGAAACAUCUAAGUACCCCGAGGAAAAGAAAUCAACCGAGAUUCCCCCAGUAGCGGCGAGCGAACGGGGAGCAGCCCAGAGUCUGAAUCAGCUUGUGUGUUAGUGGAACGGUCUGGAAAGUCCGACGGUACAGGGUGAUAGUCCCGUACACCAAAAUGCACAGGUUGUGAACUCGAAGAGUAGGGCGGGACACGUGGUAUCCUGUCUGAAUAUGGGGGGACCAUCCUCCAAGGCUAAAUACUCCUGACUGACCGAUAGUGAACCAGUACCGUGAGGGAAAGGCGAAAAGAACCCCGGCGAGGGGAGUGAAAAAGAACCUGAAACCGUGUACGUACAAGCAGUGGGAGCACCUUCGGGUGUGACUGCGUACCUUUUGUAUAAUGGGUCAGCGACUUAUAUUCUGUAGCAAGGUUAACCGUAUAGGGGAGCCGCAGGGAAACCGAGUCUUAACUGGGCGUUAAGUUGCAGGGUAUAGACCCGAAACCCGGUGAUCUAGCCAUGGGCAGGUUGAAGGUUGGGUAACACUAACUGGAGGACCGAACCGACUAAUGUUGAAAAAUUAGCGGAUGACUUGUGGCUGGGGGUGAAAGGCCAAUCAAACCGGGAGAUAGCUGGUUCUCCCCGAAAGCUAUUUAGGUAGCGCCUCGUGAACUCAUCUUCGGGGGUAGAGCACUGUUUCGGCUAGGGGGUCAUCCCGACUUACCAACCCGAUGCAAACUACGAAUACCGAAGAAUGUUAUCACGGGAGACACACGGCGGGUGCUAACGUCCGUCGUGAAGAGGGAAACAACCCAGACCGCCAGCUAAGGUCCCAAAGUCAUGGUUAAGUGGGAAACGAUGUGGGAAGGCACAGACAGCCAGGAUGUUGGCUUAGAAGCAGCCAUCAUUUAAAGAAAGCGUAAUAGCUCACUGGUCGAGUCGGCCUGCGCGGAAGAUGUAACGGGGCUAAACCAUGCACCGAAGCUGCGGCAGCGACACUAUGUGUUGUUGGGUAGGGGAGCGUUCUGUAAGCCUGCGAAGGUGACCUGUGAGGGUUGCUGGAGGUAUCAGAAGUGCGAAUGCUGACAUAAGUAACGAUAAAGCGGGUGAAAAGCCCGCUCGCCGGAAGACCAAGGGUUCCUGUCCAACGUUAAUCGGGGCAGGGUGAGUCGACCCCUAAGGCGAGGCCGAAAGGCGUAGUCGAUGGGAAACAGGUUAAUAUUCCUGUACUUGGUGUUACUGCGAAGGGGGGACGGAGAAGGCUAUGUUAGCCGGGCGACGGUUGUCCCGGUUUAAGCAUGUAGGCUGAUUAUCCAGGCAAAUCCGGAUAAUCAAGGCUGAGGUGUGAUGACGAGGCACUACGGUGCUGAAGUAACAAAUGCCCUGCUUCCAGGAAAAGCCUCUAAGCAUCAGGUAACAUUAAAUCGUACCCCAAACCGACACAGGUGGUCAGGUAGAGAAUACCAAGGCGCUUGAGAGAACUCGGGUGAAGGAACUAGGCAAAAUGGUGCCGUAACUUCGGGAGAAGGCACGCUGGUGUGUAGGUGAAGUCCCUGCGGAUGGAGCUGAGACCAGUCGAAGAUACCAGCUGGCUGCAACUGUUUAUUAAAAACACAGCACUGUGCAAACACGAAAGUGGACGUAUACGGUGUGACGCCUGCCCGGUGCCGGAAGGUUAAUUGAUGGGGUUAUCCGUAAGGAGAAGCUCUUGAUCGAAGCCCCGGUAAACGGCGGCCGUAACUAUAACGGUCCUAAGGUAGCGAAAUUCCUUGUCGGGUAAGUUCCGACCUGCACGAAUGGCGUAAUGAUGGCCAGGCUGUCUCCACCCGAGACUCAGUGAAAUUGAACUCGCUGUGAAGAUGCAGUGUACCCGCGGCAAGACGGAAAGACCCCGUGAACCUUUACUAUAGCUUGACACUGAACAUUGAGCCUUGAUGUGUAGGAUAGGUGGGAGGCUUUGAAGCGUGGACGCCAGUCUGCGUGGAGCCAACCUUGAAAUACCACCCUUUAAUGUUUGAUGUUCUAACGUUGGCCCCUGACCGGGGUUGCGGACAGUGUCUGGUGGGUAGUUUGACUGGGGCGGUCUCCUCCCAAAGCGUAACGGAGGAGCACGAAGGUUAGCUAAUCCUGGUCGGACAUCAGGAGGUUAGUGCAAUGGCAUAAGCUAGCUUGACUGCGAGCGUGACGGCGCGAGCAGGUGCGAAAGCAGGUCAUAGUGAUCCGGUGGUUCUGAAUGGAAGGGCCAUCGCUCAACGGAUAAAAGGUACUCCGGGGAUAACAGGCUGAUACCGCCCAAGAGUUCAUAUCGACGGCGGUGUUUGGCACCUCGAUGUCGGCUCAUCACAUCCUGGGGCUGAAGUAGGUCCCAAGGGUAUGGCUGUUCGCCAUUUAAAGUGGUACGCGAGCUGGGUUUAGAACGUCGUGAGACAGUUCGGUCCCUAUCUGCCGUGGACGCUGGAGAAUUGAGGGGGGCUGCUCCUAGUACGAGAGGACCGGAGUGGACGCAUCACUGGUGUUCGGGUUGUCAUGCCAAUGGCACUGCCCGGUAGCUAAAUGCGGAAGAGAUAAGUGCUGAAAGCAUCUAAGCACGAAACUUGCCCCGAGAUGAGUUCUCCCUGAGACUUUAAGUCUCCUGAAGGAACGUUAAAGACGAUGACGUUGAUAGGCCGGGUGUGUAAGCGCAGCGAUGCGUUGAGCUAACCGGUACUAAUGAACCGUGAGGCUUAACCUUACAACGCCGAAG